rnacentral:rRNA from 1 species
UAGAGUUUGAUCAUGGCUCAGAUUGAACGCUGGCGGCAGGCCUAACACAUGCAAGUCGAGCGGAAACGACAACAUUGAAUCUUCGGAGGAUUUGUUGGGCGUCGAGCGGCGGACGGGUGAGUAAUGCCUAGGAAAUUGCCUUGAUGUGGGGGAUAACCAUUGGAAACGAUGGCUAAUACCGCAUAAUGCCUACGGGCCAAAGAGGGGGACCUUCGGGCCUCUCGCGUCAAGAUAUGCCUAGGUGGGAUUAGCUAGUUGGUGAGGUAAUGGCUCACCAAGGCGACGAUCCCUAGCUGGUCUGAGAGGAUGAUCAGCCACACUGGAACUGAGACACGGUCCAGACUCCUACGGGAGGCAGCAGUGGGGAAUAUUGCACAAUGGGCGAAAGCCUGAUGCAGCCAUGCCGCGUGUAUGAAGAAGGCCUUCGGGUUGUAAAGUACUUUCAGUUGUGAGGAAGGGUGUGUAGUUAAUAGCUGCGCAUCUUGACGUUAGCAACAGAAGAAGCACCGGCUAACUCCGUGCCAGCAGCCGCGGUAAUACGGAGGGUGCGAGCGUUAAUCGGAAUUACUGGGCGUAAAGCGCAUGCAGGUGGUUCAUUAAGUCAGAUGUGAAAGCCCGGGGCUCAACCUCGGAACUGCAUUUGAAACUGUGAACUAGAGUGCUGUAGAGGGGGGAAUCCCGCG